UACAGCCAGCCCACAGUGAGCGCAUGUAAUCCACCCAAGACAUAAGCUGGAGGGAGGGAUGUAAUUGAAGCUGCCUUGACAGGAGCAAGGAAACACAAGAUUGGAGAUUUGGAAAGGAUGGAGGGGGGACCCGGCUGCGGAAGGGUGUGUAUGUGUGUGUUAUGCGGCCACAAGAAACAGCAGAUGCUUCAUUUCCUGUGUUGAUUUGGGGGAGCAAGACAGACAAAGCUAAUGAUGACUUGUUGGGCUAUAACAAGGAAGUCCAUGAGGCCAUACACUCACAAGCCGAAUACUUUCGCAUGCACGCACGUGCGUUUCCACACAGGGAGAUGUCCUUUCUUUGAGCUGUAGGGGAACAAACGGAAAUGACAAAGAUUCUGAAGCAUCUUGGAUGCACGUCACUGGGGAAAAGAGAUUGUAUUCCAGAAAGGUCCAAAUGACAAUCAUCAGUGACAACUGGAGAUUCACCCGAAGUCAAAAGCAAAAGACUUCGGACUGCGGAGUGGCUACAGAAAUUGAAAUCUACAGGACAAGUCACUCCGAGUGUAACAGAUGAAUCAAGGAUAUCCGAUUGCUCCAUAUGUCUGGGAAGGGAGAAGCCGGCACGCAAACAAGACUUGAGCAAUGACAGUCAUGUCUGACUUUACACAUGGCCAUAAAAUGUAACAUAAUCGCUACAGACAGAACACGUCUUUUCCUGCCGGUGUGCUUUGAGUUGGAGCAAUCAGGCAGUGUUUGAUCACGGAGCCCUUGCUUUGUGUGGCUAAAUAACAAUUGACUAGUUAUUGAUUCUCAGAUGCUGAAACAAAUUAAAUUAAAACUGC